CCUUCAAUAGCUCAGCUGGUAGAGUAGAGGACUGUAGAUCCUUAGGUCGCUGGUUCAAGUCCAGCUUGAAGGA